rnacentral:rRNA from 2 species
UUCCGGUUGAUCCUGCCGGACCUGACUGCUAUCGGAUUGAUACUAAGCCAUGCGAGUCAUUGUAGCAAUACGAGGCAUACGGCUCAGUAACGCGUAGUCAACCUACCCUAUGGACGGAAAUAACCUCGGGAAACUGAGAAUAAUAUCCGAUAGAACAUUAUGCCUGGAAUGGUUUAUGUUCCAAAUGAUUUAUCGCCGUAGGAUGGGACUGCGGCCUAUCAGUUUGUUGGUGAGGUAAUGGCCUACUAAGACUAUUACAGGUACGGGCUUUGAGAGGAGUAGCCCGGAGAUGGGUACUGAGACACGGACCCAGGCCCUAUGGGGCGCAGCAGGCGAGAAAACUUUGCAAUGUGCGAAAGCACGACAAGGUUAAUCCGAGUGAUUUCUGCUAAAGAAAUCUUUUGUUAGUCCUAGAAACACUAACGAAUAAGGGGUGGGCAAGUUCUGGUGUCAGCCGCCGCGGUAAAACCAGCACCUCAAGUGGUCAGGAUGAUUAUUGGGCCUAAAGCAUCCGUAGCCGGCUCUGUAAGUCCUCGGUUAAAUCUGUACGCUUAACGUACAGGCUGCCGGGAAUACUGCAUAGCUAGGGAGUGGGAGAGGUAGACGGUACUCGGUAGGAAGGGGUAAAAUCCUUUGAUCUAUUGAUGACCACCUGUGGCGAAGGCGGUCUACCAGAACACGUCCGACGGUGAGGGAUGAAAGCUGGGGGAGCAAACCGGAUUAGAUACCCGGGUAGUCCCAGCUGUAAACUAUGCAAACUCAGUGAUGCAUUGGCUUGUGGCCAAUGCAGUGCUGCAGGGAAGCCGUUAAGUUUGCCGCCUGGGAAGUACGUACGCAAGUAUGAAACUUAAAGGAAUUGGCGGGGGAGCACCACAA